rnacentral:rRNA from 1 species
AUGGAGGAGACCGAGGCUAAGAAGCCCACCCCCGCAUCCCCCCUCUUCUCCUUCUCCAACCCCAGCGCCUCCUUCGGCUUCGGGUUCGGCGCCGCGCCCGGCCCUCCCCCUCCGCCUCCGCCGCCAGCUGUCGAGGUCCUCCUCUCCGAGGAAUCACCCGUCGCGGCCGGCAACUUGGAGCCUGUGGUGGUUGACGACUCCCUAUCGAUCUACAAGGGGAGAGUUAACACCUCUGAUGUUUUGGGGGUAAAAAACUCUGAUUUGGUUCCAGGAAAAUAUGAAGGGGGGUUGAAACUGUGGGAAGGAUCAUUGGACUUGGUGAAAACCCUAAAUUCAGACAUCAAAGAUGAUCGAUUGCUUAUGGAAGGCAAACACGUACUAGAGCUAGGAUGUGGACAUGGCCUCCCUGGCAUCUUUGCAGGUCUGAAGGGUGCUGCUCUAGUUCACUUCCAAGAUUUCAAUGCUGAGGUCCUUAGGUGCCUUACCAUCCCAAAUGUAAAAGCUAAUCUGUUCAAGGAAUCAUCUGAAACAUCUAGGAGUGUUGGUUUUUAUGCUGGUGAUUGGAGUGAAAUCGACAAGUUACUUCUUCGCGGAGAUGCUGUCCAGGAUAAAACAACCAAUCUUCACACAGAAAAUGAAGGGCAUAGAGGCUACAAUAUCAUCCUGAUGGCUGAGACUGUGUAUGCAUUGGAUUCACUUCCUAGUCUCUACAGGCUCAUCAAGAAGUGCUUACACUACCCUAGUGGUGUAGUUUAUAUGGCAGGGAAAAAGCAUUACUUUGGUGUAGGUGGCGGCACAAGGCAAUUUCUACGCUUGGUUACAGAAGAUGGUGCCAUGCAGUCGGACCUGCUUGCUGAAGUUACUGACGGAUCAUCCAAUGUUAGGGAGGUUUGGAAAUUCUCAUUCAAGUAG